rnacentral:sRNA from 1 species
UAUGGUCGUCGGAUGUUUUUACCUUGAUC